rnacentral:rRNA from 1 species
AUUGAACGCUGGCGGCAGGCCUAACACAUGCAAGUCGAGCGAGCGGCGGACGGGUGAGUAAUGUCUGGGAAACUGCCUGAUGGAGGGGGAUAACUACUGGAAACGGUAGCUAAUACCGCAUACCAUCAGAUGUGCCCAGAUGGGAUUAGCUCGUAGGUGGGGUAACGGCUCACCUAGGCGACGAUCCCGAGCUGGUCUGAGAGGAUUACCAGCCAAAGUGGACAUGAGAAACGGUCCGGACGCCUACGGGAGGCAGCAGUGGGGAAGAUUGCACAAGGGGGGCAAGCCUGAUGCAGCCAUGCCGCGUGUAUGAAGAAGGCCUUCGGGUUGUAAAGCACGUUGAGCGGGGAGGCGUUACCCGCAGAAGAAGCACCGGCUAACUCCGUGCCAGCAGCCGCGGUAAUAC